rnacentral:RNase_P_RNA from 1 species
UGUGUUGGCUAGGUAAUCGCGCUUUUUAUAAGUGAGGAAAGUCCGAGCAUCAAAGAGCAAUCACGCUUGAUAACAUCAAGCCAGGGUGACCUGAGGAAAAGUGCAACAGAAAUAUACAGCCGUAAAAGGCAAUGGUGAAAAAGUGAGGUAAGAGCUCCCUCGAGAUAUUGGUGACAAUAACUCGCUGUAAACUCCGUGAGAUGCAAGGUGUGGAACUUAUGGGCUGCUCGUCCGUUCCCGUGACCGCUAGAGCAUAGCAGCAAUGUUAUGUCGAGAUUGAUGAUUACCUUAAAUGACAGAACUCGGCUUACAGGCCAUCAGCGCAU